rnacentral:rRNA from 1 species
GAUGAACGCUGGCGGCGUGCCUAAUACAUGCAAGUCGAGCGAACGGACUAGAAGCUUGCUUCUCUGAUGUUAGCGGCGGACGGGUGAGUAACACGUGGAUAACCUACCUAUAAGACUGGGAUAACUUCGGGAAACCGGAGCUAAUACCGGAUAAUAUCUUGAACCGCAUGGUUCAAGAUUGAAAGAUGGUCUUGCUGUCCCUUAUAAAUGGAUCCGCGCGUCAUUAGCUAGUUGGUAAGGUAACGGCUUACCAGGGCAACGAUGCAUAGCCGACCUGAGAGGGUGAUCGGCAACACUGGAACUGAGACACGGUCCAGACUCCUACGGGGGGCAGCAUAAGGGAAUCUUCAGAAAUGGGCGAAAGCCUAACGGAGCACCGCGGCGUGAUGGAUGAAGGUCUUCGGAUCGUAAACCUCUGUUAUUAGGGAAGAACAUAUGUGUAAGUAAAUGCGCACAUCUUGACGGUACCUAAUCAGAAAGCCACGGCUAACUACGUG